UUCUGUAAACUAUCUAGUCAGCGAGCUUACCUAUGCAUUGUGACGUCAUAAACUUGGCAGCGACGUCAUGUUAGUCCUUCACAAGCCGCGAUGGCUGCUUAUUUUGACACAAUAACACAGACUUUCACAGCGCUUGAGACUUCAUGUAAUAACAGUAUGGUCCUAUGGAUUUCAGUACCAAAACUGAUUUUCUACCGUUUUUCUUCCAAGAAAGUUCUGAACAGCUGAAUCCUGGAUCAGCCUAGAUGUUAUUUCACUGGAUUAUUUAAUGAAUAUUACUCUACUGAGUUACCUGGUUACAUGGAUCAGCUAAGAUGUUGUUUCACUGGAUUAUUUAAUUGGGCAUAUAAUUGGAUAAUUCUGUCCUCAACCUGGAAGAUAUGUUUUAUUCCUAACCAUCUAUAAUCCAUUCUCUAUGAAGUUCAGCCUGUCUGCCCAAAUUCCUUUGGAAAUACAUAGUUAGUCAACCAACAUAGAAACAAUCAAACUUGAAGGGAAAGAAUACUAUAAUGUGGAUCCUGGGGAUCAACAGUGAAAAAUCUUAAUGACCCUCUUGACUAGGUCUAAAGGCUGUAACCUUUAUAACUGAUGUAAGAUGAUCUGAUUGCAUGGCAUUAAAAUUUCCUGGUGUUUCUACUUUCCAGGAUCUUCUUAUGAGUGCAUGGGGACUGCUGUGGACCUUAACCUGUUUAUAAAAAUAUACCUUGGAGCAUGACACUUUAUUCAUAAAAGUCAUCAACAUGGAAGAUAUGUUUUGUUCCUAACCAUCUAUAAUCCAUUCUCUAUGAAGUUCAGCCUGUCUGCUCUUCCUUUGGAAAUACACAGUUAGUCAAUCAACAUAGAAACACACAAACUUGAAGGAUUCUCAAUGGGGAACUCAGUAAAUUAUGCACAGACUAACAGAAUAUACUCUCUUGGAACACUGAUACAAGAAUAUAAAACCAGAGAUGGAUGGAGGACUCAAGAAGCACAUGAAUAAAUAUGAUUCCAAACUAAGUCAAUCAUGAUGAUCAUGAAUUGUGGUUCACAGGAUAAGAGAGAAAGGACCCAGGAUUGUGCAUUUUUCUAGAUCCUCUCCCAUUCAUAUCCUUCAUAUGCUGGCAUACAAAACAAUAGAUAAAUUGUAGUCAUUUAACAGACUGAAGUUUAAUCAAAUCAAAGUAUUGAAAAUGUGUUUUUCUGAUAGUAUGAGAUCUUCAAAAAAAUAAUUCUCACAGAUUUCAAAGUAUCUAAAUAUAACUUUUAAUUUAUGUAGUACAAAUUGAAUACAGUUGUUAUGUAUGACUUUUAUACAUUGAAUCCUUAAUUUUUCAUCUUAUAUCUACAACACCCCUAGAAAAUACACAGAUAUUCAGAAGCUA